rnacentral:rRNA from 1 species
GGGUGUUUUAUCACAUGCAGUCGAACGGCAGCACAAGAGAGCUUGUCUUCUUGGGGGGCGAGUGGCGGACGGGUGAGUAAUGUAUCGGAACGUGCCCAGUAGCGGGGGAUAACUACUCGAAAGAUGGGCUAAUACCGCAUACGCCCUACGGGGGAAAGGGGGGGAUCGCAAGACCUCUCACUAUUGGAGCGGCCGAUAUCGGAUUAGCUAGUUGGUGGGGUAAAGGCCUACCAAGGGCGACGAUCCGUAGCUGGUUUGAGAGGACGACCAGCCACAACUGGGACUGAGACACGGCCCAGACUCCUACGGGGAGGGCAAGCAGUGGGGGAUUUUUGGACAAUGGGGGAAAACCCUGAUCCAGCCAUCCCGCGUGUGUGAUGAAGGCCUUCGGGUUGUAAAGCCACUUUUUGACAGGGAAGAAAUGAUAGAGGCUAAUAACCUCUGUAGAUGACGGUACCUGUAGAAUAAGCACCGGCUAACUACGUGCCAGCAGCCGCGGUAAUACGUAGGGUGCAAGCGUUAAUCGGAAUUACUGGGGCGUAAAGGGUACGCAGGGCGGCUAGGAAAGAAAGAUGUGAAAUCCCAGGGCUCAACCUUGGAACUGCAUUUUUAACUACCUAGCUAGAGUAUGUCAGAGGGGGGUAGAAUUCCACGUGUAGCAGUGAAAUGCGUAGAGAUGUGGAGGAAUACCGAUGGCGAAGGCAGCCCCCUGGGAUAAUACUGACGCUCAGGUACGAAAGCGUGGGGAGCAAACAGGAUUAGAUACCUGGGGGUAAGCCC